rnacentral:rRNA from 1 species
GACGAACGCUGGCGGCGUGCUUAACACAUGCAAGUCGAACGGUGAAGGGAUCAGCUUGCUGGUUCUGGAUGAGUGGCGAACGGGUGAGUAACACGUGAGUAACCUGCCCCCUUCUUCUGGAUAACCGCAUGAAAGUGUGGCUAAUACGGGAUAUUCUGGGUCUGUCGCAUGAUGGGUCUGGGAAAGAUAUUGUUUCGGUGGGGGAUGGGCUCGCGGCCUAUCAGCUUGUUGGUGGGGUGAUGGCCUACCAAGGCGGGGACGGGUAGCCGGCCGGAGAGGGGGGACGGUCACACUGUGACUGGCACCCGUCCCACACUCGUACGGGAGGCAGCACUGGGGGAUACUGCACACUGGGAGCAAGCCUGAUGCAGCGACGCCGGGUGAGGGAGGGAGGCCUUCGGGUUGUAAACCUCUUUCUCCAGUGAAGCAGGCCUGCUCCUUGUGGGUGGGUUGACGUUAGCUGGAUAAGAAGCGCCGGCUAACUACGUG